rnacentral:rRNA from 1 species
GACGAACGCUGGCGGCGUGCUUAACACAUGCAAGUCGAACGGUGAUGCUCCAGCUUGCUGGAGUGGAUCAGUGGCGAACGGGUGAGUAACACGUGAGCAACCUGCCCCAGACUCUGGAAUAAGCGCUGGAAACGGCGUCUAAUACUGGAUACGAAACUGGCCCGCAUGGGCAUGGUUUGGAAAGUUUUUCGGUUUGGGAUGGGCUCGCGGCCUAUCAGCUUGUUGGUGAGGUAAUGGCUCACCAAGGCGGCGACGGGUAGCCGGCCUGAGAGGGCGACCGGCCACACUGGGACUGAGACACGGCCCAGACUCCUACGGGAGGCAGCAGUGGGGAAUAUUGCACAAUGGGCGAAAGCCUGAUGCAGCGACGCCGCGUGAGGGAUGACGGCCUUCGGGUUGUAAACCUCUUUCAGCAGGGAAGAAGCGAAAGUGACGGUACCUGCAGAAGAAGCACCGGCUAACUACGUG